AUUGAACGCUGGCGGCAGGCUUAACCCAUGCAAGUCGAGCGGAGAUGAGGUGCUUGCACCUUAUCUUAGCGGCGGACGGGUGAGUAAUGCUUAGGAAUCUGCCUAUUAGGGAGGGACAACAUUCCGAAAGGAAUGCUAAUACCGCAUACGUCCUACGGGAGAAAGCAGGGGAUCUUCGGACCUUGCGCUAAUAGAUGAGCCUAAGUCGGAUUAGCUAGUUGGUGGGGUAAAGGCCUACCAAGGCGACGAUCUGUAGCGGGUCUGAGAGGAUGAUCCGCCACACUGGGACUGAGACACGGCCCAGACUCCUACGGGAGGCAGCAGUGGGGAAUAUUGGACAAUGGGGGGAACCCUGAUCCAGCCAUGCCGCGUGUGUGAAGAAGGCCUUAUGGUUGUAAAGCACUUUAAGCGAGGAGGAGGCUACUGAGACUAAUACUCUUGGAUAGUGGACGUUACUCGCAGAAUAAGCACCGGCUAACUCUGUGCCAGCAGCCGCCGUAACAC
rnacentral:rRNA from 1 species